CAGCGCGGUUUAUAGGAGUACAGAUGUUAGACUUCCAAGGACUGAAAAGGGCCAUGUAUGUGCUUCCGAAAUUUUACACCAAAAGAGACUGAAUCAAAAGAAUCUUCCUAGUAAUUUUCACCAAUAUAAAGAAACAGAAAAACACACCAGCAGAAAAAAACGAUGGUUACCUGAUGACAUACAUCAUAUUUCCACACAGCAUGAUGAUUACCAAGAAGAUGAACAGGAAAAAAAGUUAUUGAACCCAGAAUUGCCAUUGGAUUUAGAUGUUCCUUACACACGAAACAUUGACGAAAACGUUGACGACAAGGCAAAUGCGAAAAUAUAUGAUGAUAAAGUUGAUAAGCAAAAUCCCAA